UCCACGCCGUCUGUUGCUGCAGCCGUGGUAGUAGCAGCAGCAGGAGGAGGAGGUGAAGGUGGUGAACGAGGUUGACGACUGUUGCUGCUGCUGCUCUUGUUGCUGCUGCUGUUGUUGCUGCUGCAAGAACAAAGAGGACAUGGGAAAGAAGACGCCGAAAAAGUUGGACUCCGCGCAACAUGAAAUGGAGAAGAGGCCGCCUGGCACCGUGCGGACGAACCAACGGAACCGGAAGCCGAACGCCUCCCGGCGGAGUCGCUGGGGCGGCUGCGGCGGUGGCGUCGUCACAUGCCUCGUGCUCACGGGCGCCCUCGUGCUCUCGGUGGUGCUGGCCUACACGCUGGGGCUCACCGACACGGUGGCAGAAAAGCUCACCGAUUAUGACAUGGACGGGGACAGGGAUUUCGACGUGGAAGAUGUCAAGAAAAUAUUCCAAGACAAGCUGGACUGGGACGGAGACGGUGACGUGGAUGGGGAGGACAUGCACACCCUGCUAGCAGCCAUCCAGAGCAAGUUCACCGGCAGCGAGGAGUCUAAGGCCGAGGCUCCCUCUGCCGACCCUGGCGACCACCACCACCAACAACACGAAGAUGAACAAGACCAAGACGUUCACCAGCCACUGGGUGAUCACCACCACCACCAUGAAGAUGAUCACGACCACCACCACCAUGAAGGCGACCACGAUGAAGGUGACGACCACCAUGACCAUGACCACCACCGUUACCACGGGCAUGAUUCCGAGCAGGAGGAUGAUGAUGAUGAUCAAGAUGAGGAGGUCCACCUUCAUCAUGAAGUCGAUCACCAAGAGGAUCGCCGUGAUCAGGAGGGUGAUGAUCAACUUAAAGAGGAGGACCUCCAACAUGAGGAUGGCCUUGAUCAAGAAGAUGAUCGUGACGAUGAUGAUGAUGGUGGUGACGGUGAUGAGCACCAAGAGGAGGUCGACGCUGUGCAUGAGGAGCUCCACAUUCACCAUGAGGAGCUCCACGCCCAGCCUGAGGAGCUCCACGCUCAGCACGACGAGCUCCACGUCCAGCCUGAGGAGCUCCACGCUCCGCAUGAGGAGGUCGAUGCUCAGCAAGAGGAGCUCCACAUUCACCAUGAGGAGCUCCACGCUCCGCAUGAGGAGGUCGAUGCUCAGCAAGAGGAGCUCCACAUUCACCAUGAGGAGCUCCACGCUCCGCAUGAGGAGGUCGAUGCUCAGCAAGAGGAGCUCCACAUUCACCAUGAGGAGCUCCACGCUCAGAAUGAGGAGGUCGAUGCUCAGCCUGAGGAGCUCCACAUUCAGAAUGAGGAGCUCCACGCUCAGCACGACGAGCUCCACGCUCAGAACGAGGAGGUCUAUGCUCAGCACGAGGAGCUCCACGCUCAGCACGAGGAGCUCCACGCUCAGCAUGAGGACCUCCACGCUCAGCAUGAGAAUCACCAUCAUGGAGACGACCAACAGCAGCACCACGAGGAUGGUCACCUUCAAUCUGAGGGUGAUCACCUCCACGAGGUCCACUCUCACAAAGAAGAUGACCAUCAUGAAGAGGAUGGUCAUGAUCAUGGGGAUGAGGAUCAACAUGUGGAGGUCCACCUUCAUCAAGAGGGUGACCACCAUCACCACGAGAUUGACCCACACCAUGAACAGGCCAACCCACACCACGAGGGCGACGCUGCCAUCCACCCUGAUGAAGUCAGCUACUUGCACCACGAGCAUUUACACCACCCUGGAGAGGACGAGCAGGCCCAGGAUGCAUCCCAUCAGCCAGGGGACAGCGACGAGGAGGAGCAUUCCCCGCCACAGGAGGUGGUGGAGGGUGAAUCUCAGCAGGUCCACGAAGAUGAUGUUGCGCAGCAGCGGCCGUCAGAUGAGUCGCAGCAGCAGCAGGAGGAGGAGGAGUUGCAGGGACAGCUUGAGUCUGACAUCAGCGCAGAGGCUGUGUCGCAGCAACACGAGGCCAUUGAGGAGGCAGAAGAGGUCGGGACAGAGGAAGAGCAGAAGGCGGAGGAUGGGGACGGCGGACUGCAUGAGCACCAUGCCGCAUCCUCUGACGAGAAUGAAAUCCCCAUGCAGCUGGAGGAUAACGUUGAAGCGGAAGGUGACGGUGACGACGACGAUGACGACGACGACGAUGAGGUCGACGCCGCCCCAGCGGAGGACGUCCCCGACCAUCGCGGGUCGAGUGAGCAAGGUGGAGUGGACGAGACGCAUCCUGCGGAGAGCGUGGACUUGCCAGAGUCGAACGACGCCCACGGCAACGAUGGCGACCACGAACGCAGCGCCGACUAUCCGCCGCAGCAGUACGACGGAGGCAGCCACCGUCACGAGGAGCAGAGAGAUGACGACGAGAACGCCAUUCCUCUCAAAGAGGCGGAUAACGGCGGCGGUGCAGCUGAUUCGGGCGAUGGUGAUGCUGGUGGCGGACAACCCGAGCUUCACCAGGAGUUGCACAAGCUUCAGGAUGAGGCUGAUGGAGAAGUGGAGUUGGGGAGCGAUUCUCUUCCUCCACCACUGCCUGGCGCCCACGGGGAGGGAGUGAGAGAAGGCCACUAGAGGAGGAGGCCACAGAGCCGCAGGCGAGAGGGGCGAGGUGACAAGCCAACGUGUUAAUGCUGCCACCAAUGGCAACGUAUGUCUGUGAUGCAAUAAUAUAGUGAAUUUUUAAGAAAGGGUUUGUUUUCGAUAUGAAUAUGCAGUACACACGUGUACUGACGGGGCUGCGCGCGUGGUGGAUACAGUGGCAUUCUGGACGGGUCCGGGUUUCGGCACUGGCUCGGUAAAUUUACCGCGAUCCCUCCUGACUCAGUUCGCCGUCAGAGAGACGUUACAACAGUCGUCGGGUUUACCGCAGACCCCCGCGGGUGUGCAGUCUCGUUUUCGUGUGGCUGUCAAUGCGGAAACACCCUUUUGCUUGACGACGUUUGUGGGGGGCGAGAAGGGGGGGGGGGGGGGGGGGGGGGAUGGGUGGUGUAGGGUAGGGUGAUACUGAGUAGAUUCACCAGCAUUAAGACAAUCCACGGUCCCCCUCUUUAGGAAGGGGGGGGGGACCGUUUCCUAGUUUUUAAAAUAAAUAUACAGUACAUUUUAAAUGCAGUAUGAUGACACUAAUAAGCAAGUGGGCUGUGAGAAUGGGUCGUGGUGCGUGGGACGUGGGUGCUGGAUAGGGAGAGGGGGGCAGGUUACUACCUCGACAGGCAUUGCAAUGGCACCCAGCGGUGUGCAACCAAGGGAAAGAGCAAAGCCCGUCUAGGUGGUGGUGGUGGUGGUGAUGAGACUGUCAAGAGCGGUCCUUGGUGGUUCGGUGUCGCCUCGGCAACGGCUAUGGGAUCUUGCAUAAGGAAGGCAGCAAAUGGCUCCGGGUUGUCGCAGCAUGGGCAGGACAGCGCCAUAUCUUGCGGCGGCUAUUGACGUCGAUUCACUGUAGGUUCACAACGGCGGUCGGCAGGGAUUUUGCGAAUGCAUCGCAGCCGGGCCAGGUAGCCGUCGUUCACACGCCCCCCUCCCGCAGGUGAGUGGGUUUGUAAACAUCUGGGGUCGUGAUUUGAUCCUAGAAUCGACCAGUUUUUUUCAGUCUCAUUUGUGUUGAUCCUUGCCUCUGUUCAGCUUCGUUUGUUCCUUCUCAGUUGUUCCGUUAGCCUCGAGGAAACGUUGACAUUUACUCUGGGUAAAUCGCAGGUAAUCGAUGUCCGCACUCGUGCAACAUCAUUGGUGCUGCCUACACCUGUAAAAGAUGCGUAUAUUCGCCAAUGAACACCGAUCGUUAUGUUCAUGAUAUAAGUGCAUCGAAUCGUAUACGUCAGGAUGUAUUAUCUGAUGCGUGAAAUUUAACGCAUGCGAUCUCAUACUACGAAUUACAAAGAAGCUCAACACGUUCGUCAAUAAUACUGUGUGGCCUUAAAAGAACAUUUUUUUACAAUCGGCAACGUUUCAGGCAAUAGUGAUUCUUCAUGGCACAUCACACCUAACACAAUUAGGCUAAUGGAGUGAUUAAAACUGAACUGAGGACACAGGAAAAGGGAAACUGUACAGAAGGGACAGACAAGAGCCAAUGCUUGAAUUGAAUCUCUCGAAGCCAGCUGCUGCUCGUAGUAAAAUCACGAUGAAAGUCGGGGCUCAGAUGGCCCCAGCCACUCGGCCAGAUUCGCUCCGUCAUUGGAAUCUUCUUCAUCACCAUGCCUGUCCUAUCCACUGCUGGAUGCAGGCCUCCCCCUACCCCACACCAACAAACUUCCUCGCAGUCCUGACGCUACAUUCCAUCCUGCUUGUGCACGCAUGAGCCGACUUCAUUGCGCCACCUUCCACAGCGGGUCAUCCUCUCGGACAUACAGUAAAAGCUUGGAUUGCGAGUCACUUGGUCUGCGAGUGUUUUGCAAGAUGAGCAAAUUUUUUUAAAUAAAUAAUAAUUUGAUAAACGGAGCGAGGUCUUGCAAUACGAGUAGUACGUGCAUACGCUUUGUCUGCCGAGCGUCACGUGAUCACAACUGAUACACGAGUGCUUUGGAUUUUAAACACGUUUCCGGAACGAAUUAUGCUCGCAAUCCAAGGUUUUACUGUAUUUGUUUUCCCUCCUUUAGCUACUAUUGCAUCACCAGUCUUGUCCAUCAUCCAUUCAAGCCACGGCAUAUCCUGCCCUGACCCCCUCCCCCCCCCCAGUCGACACGAUGUCUCUCUUGCGUUGUGGUCUCUAAUGCUGCUCUCGCUGUAAUUCCCAUCGUGUGUCAUUCUGUCGUGCUGCUUUGCGUGCUCUCCAGCUUUAAAAAAAAAUAUUUUUACACGUCCUUUGUCAUACUCUGCGUCCGUGAUCUGCGUAUGCACUGAUUCAUAACGUUCUUUUAUAGCCCACGUUGCGUCUCGUGUGCACGUGGUAGGGAAAUGUAAAUUUCCAUCGAGAGCAAUAAUGCUUGAUGUUUAUUGUCCAGUGUUCUACGGAGAUUCGACCGCUGUCGGUCGUGGGAUGAUUGCCAUGGGAUGAUUGCAAUAGCUCGCUCACGCGUUACACGCUCAACGCUCGAUUGUCGGUACAUGGCGUCAUCUGGGAUUACAAGGCUUAACCGUGCUUUUUGGUGGGGUGGGGGGGAAGGGGCAAUGGAAGAUAUAUGUAAGUACGUAUGUUGAACUUCUUUCGCACCGUACGUAACCAACGGUAGAUGUGCGAGGUUAAGGACAACAAACUAAACACAAUACUUGUAGGAGAUGGGAGUUGUACCGCGCUCAUUAGCACCUCGUGCUCCUCGCACGUGACUCGGCGACCGAUGACGAGCGAGGCUUCGUUUCUCACCGAAUGUUUCCCAGGUGAAACAUGAAAAGGCAAAGUGUGUGACGAGUUGUAGCGGCCCCGUCGUGAGAGCGAAACUGGACGUGGUGUUGCCCGGUGCAGGAAUAUGGGAAUUGAGCCCUGCCUGUUCCGCUCCGAAACGAUAAUAACUGACGGCACCAUUGGUACCUCAUUUGCCAGUAAAAAAUAUGAUUGGUUUUUUUACCCUUUUAUCUGCCAACAAAAACUGACACCUUUUUUACGAGGAGUCAUGUUUGCAUAGACCACAAUACCUGCAGUCAUAAUGCAAAAAAAAAUGACUGCAGGUAUUGUGGUCUAUGCAAACAUGACUCCUCGUAAAAAAGGUGACAGUUUUGUUGCCAGAUAAAAGGGUAAAAAAACAAUUAUUAACUGACGGCACAUCGAGGUGAACGAUCAAUAUGGGUGGUUUAUCAGCCAAUUUAUACAGUUUUUUAAUUAUUAUUCGUGUUUUUGUUUCUGGGCCAUACCUCUCCCUCCCCUUAUGAUCCCGGAUAAUCGAGGGUUGACUGUACCUGUUGUAAGAGGAUGUGUGUGUGUAAUGCUUCAUGCCUGGUUCGUGUACCUCGUGAACUCGUGAACUCAACUCACAGCGCUGCCCAUUGCAGCCUGUGCCGGUACUGGCGGCGUUGCUGGCGCUCGUUCAGAGCCAGGGGGACUGCAAACCCGAGAGAUGAAACGUGGACGAUGCCAUUCACUUUCACCGCCAUUCACUGUCAUAGAAAUCUGGACGUUAACUUGACCUUUCACUUUCACGGAGGUCGGUCUGUUCCUGCAACCGCGAUUCGACGAAUUUUUUUAACGUUUGUCCUUACGAUUUCACCCGAGAAUCGUAUUUGCUUUUUUUUUCGUGGUGAAUGUAGCAGCCCUCUGGUGGGCAGCGGUGGAAAUGAUCACGAUGCAUCCGUGUACGAAUCCUAACCAAUUCGAUUAUUGUACUCGCGAUUCUACGCGGAUAACUUAACCGCAAUCGAUUUGAAUUAAUAAGCAAAUGCAGUGUGACCGCGCUAAUGAAGUUAAAUGCGCAAGUAUCACUUCAUUAAUAGCAGCUUCAUCUUCUUGGUUCUUUCGGUAAAGUCACGUAGAAUGGAAAUAAUAAAAUAAUAAAAAUAAAACAUAAUAAAAUAAUUCUCACGACGUUUCGGCCACAACGCAAGCAGCCGUCCUC